rnacentral:rRNA from 1 species
GAUGAACGCUGGCGGCGUGCCUAAUACAUGCAAGUCGAGCGAACAGACGAGGAUUUUGCUCCUCUGACGUUAGCGGCGGACGGGUGAGUAACACGUGGAUACCCUACCUAUAAGACUGGGAUAACUUCGGGAAACCGGAGCUAAUACCGGAUAAUAUAUUGAACCGCAUGGUUCAAUAGUGAAAGACGGUUUUGCUGUCACUAAUAGAUGGUUCCGCGCCGCAGUAGCUAGUUGGUAAGGAAACGGCUUACCAAGGCAACGAUGCGUAGCCGACCUGAGAGGGUGAUCGGCCACACUGGAACUGAGACACGGUCCAGACUCCUACGGGAGGCAGCAGUAGGGAAUCUUCGGCAAUGGGCGAAAGCUUGACGGAGCAACGCCGCGUGAGUGAUGAAGGUCUUCGGAUCGUAAAGCUCUGUUAUUUGGGAAGAACAAAAGUGAGAGUAACUAUGCACGUCUUGACGGUACCUAAACAGAAAGCCACGGCUAACUUCGUG